rnacentral:rRNA from 1 species
CCUACGGGAGGCAGCAGUGAGGAAUAUUGGUCAAUGGGCGCAAGCCUGAACCAGCCAAGUCGCGUGAGGGAAGACGGCCCUACGGGUUGUAAACCUCUUUUGCCGGGGAGCAAGCCUGAGCACGUGUGCCCAGGCGGAGAGUACCCGGAGAAAAAGCAUCGGCUAAAUCCGUGCCAGCAGGCGCGGUAAUACGGAGGAUGCGAGCGUUAUCCGGCUUUAAUGGGUUUAACGGGUGCGUAGGCGUCGAGUUAAGGCAGCGGUAAAAUUUCGGGGCUCAACCCCGCCAAGCCGGUGAAACUGGCUUGCUAGAGUGGGCGAGAAGUAUGCGGAAUGCGUGGUGUAGCGGUGAAAUGCAUAGAGAUCACGCAGAACUCCGAUUGCGAAGGCAGCAUACCGGCGCCCAACUGACGCUCAGGCACGAAAGCGUGGGUAUCGAACAGGAUUAGAUACCCUUGUAGUC